rnacentral:rRNA from 1 species
UUAAGCGACUAAGCGUACACGGUGGAUGCCCUGGCAGUCAGAGGCGAUGAAGGACGUGCUAAUCUGCGAUAAGCGUCGGUAAGGUGAUAUGAACCGUUAUAACCGGCGAUUUCCGAAUGGGGAAACCCAGUGUGAUUCGUCACACUAUCAUUAACUGAAUCCAUAGGUUAAUGAGGCGAACCGGGGGAACUGAAACAUCUAAGUACCCCGAGGAAAAGAAAUCAACCGAGAUUCCCCCAGUAGCGGCGAGCGAACGGGGAGGAGCCCAGAGCCUGAAUCAGUGUGUGUGUUAGUGGAAGCGUCUGGAAAGGCGCGCGAUACAGGGUGACAGCCCCGUACACAAAAAUGCACAUGCUGUGAGCUCGAUGAGUAGGGCGGGACACGUGGUAUCCUGUCUGAAUAUGGGGGGACCAUCCUCCAAGGCUAAAUACUCCUGACUGACCGAUAGUGAACCAGUACCGUGAGGGAAAGGCGAAAAGAACCCCGGCGAGGGGAGUGAAAAAGAACCUGAAACCGUGUACGUACAAGCAGUGGGAGCACGCUUCGGCGUGUGACUGCGUACCUUUUGUAUAAUGGGUCAGCGACUUAUAUUCUGUAGCAAGGUUAACCGAAUAGGGGAGCCGAAGGGAAACCGAGUCUUAACUGGGCGUUAAGUUGCAGGGUAUAGACCCGAAACCCGGUGAUCUAGCCAUGGGCAGGUUGAAGGUUGGGUAACACUAACUGGAGGACCGAACCGACUAAUGUUGAAAAAUUAGCGGAUGACUUGUGGCUGGGGGUGAAAGGCCAAUCAAACCGGGAGAUAGCUGGUUCUCCCCGAAAGCUAUUUAGGUAGCGCCUCGUGAAUUCAUCUCCGGGGGUAGAGCACUGUUUCGGCAAGGGGGUCAUCCCGACUUACCAACCCGAUGCAAACUGCGAAUACCGGAGAAUGUUAUCACGGGGAGACACACGGCGGGUGCUAACGUCCGUCGUGAAGAGGGAAACAACCCAGACCGCCAGCUAAGGUCCCAAAGUCAUGGUUAAGUGGGAAACGAUGUGGGAAGGCCCAGACAGCCAGGAUGUUGGCUUAGAAGCAGCCAUCAUUUAAAGAAAGCGUAAUAGCUCACUGGUCGAGUCGGCCUGCGCGGAAGAUGUAACGGGGCUAAACCAUGCACCGAAGCUGCGGCAGCGACGCUUAUGCGUUGUUGGGUAGGGGAGCGUUCUGUAAGCCUGUGAAGGUGGCCUGUGAGGGUUGCUGGAGGUAUCAGAAGUGCGAAUGCUGACAUAAGUAACGAUAAAGCGGGUGAAAAGCCCGCUCGCCGGAAGACCAAGGGUUCCUGUCCAACGUUAAUCGGGGCAGGGUGAGUCGACCCCUAAGGCGAGGCCGAAAGGCGUAGUCGAUGGGAAACAGGUUAAUAUUCCUGUACUUGGUGUUACUGCGAAGGGGGGACGGAGAAGGCUAUGUUGGCCGGGCGACGGUUGUCCCGGUUUAAGCGUGUAGGCUGGUUUUCCAGGCAAAUCCGGAAAAUCAAGGCUGAGGCGUGAUGACGAGGCACUACGGUGCUGAAGCAACAAAUGCCCUGCUUCCAGGAAAAGCCUCUAAGCACCAGGUAACAUCAAAUCGUACCCCAAACCGACACAGGUGGUCAGGUAGAGAAUACCAAGGCGCUUGAGAGAACUCGGGUGAAGGAACUAGGCAAAAUGGUGCCGUAACUUCGGGAGAAGGCACGCUGAUAUGUAGGUGAAGCGACUUGCUCGUGGAGCUGAAAUCAGUCGAAGAUACCAGCUGGCUGCAACUGUUUAUUAAAAACACAGCACUGUGCAAACACGAAAGUGGACGUAUACGGUGUGACGCCUGCCCGGUGCCGGAAGGUUAAUUGAUGGGGUUAGCGGUAACGCGAAGCUCUUGAUCGAAGCCCCGGUAAACGGCGGCCGUAACUAUAACGGUCCUAAGGUAGCGAAAUUCCUUGUCGGGUAAGUUCCGACCUGCACGAAUGGCGUAAUGAUGGCCAGGCUGUCUCCACCCGAGACUCAGUGAAAUUGAACUCGCUGUGAAGAUGCAGUGUACCCGCGGCAAGACGGAAAGACCCCGUGAACCUUUACUAUAGCUUGACACUGAACAUUGAGCCUUGAUGUGUAGGAUAGGUGGGAGGCUUUGAAGUGUGGACGCCAGUCUGCAUGGAGCCGACCUUGAAAUACCACCCUUUAAUGUUUGAUGUUCUAACGUUGGCCCCUGAUCGGGGUUGCGGACAGUGUCUGGUGGGUAGUUUGACUGGGGCGGUCUCCUCCUAAAGAGUAACGGAGGAGCACGAAGGUUGGCUAAUCCUGGUCGGACAUCAGGAGGUUAGUGCAAUGGCAUAAGCCAGCUUGACUGCGAGCGUGACGGCGCGAGCAGGUGCGAAAGCAGGUCAUAGUGAUCCGGUGGUUCUGAAUGGAAGGGCCAUCGCUCAACGGAUAAAAGGUACUCCGGGGAUAACAGGCUGAUACCGCCCAAGAGUUCAUAUCGACGGCGGUGUUUGGCACCUCGAUGUCGGCUCAUCACAUCCUGGGGCUGAAGUAGGUCCCAAGGGUAUGGCUGUUCGCCAUUUAAAGUGGUACGCGAGCUGGGUUUAGAACGUCGUGAGACAGUUCGGUCCCUAUCUGCCGUGGGCGCUGGAGAACUGAGGGGGGCUGCUCCUAGUACGAGAGGACCGGAGUGGACGCAUCACUGGUGUUCGGGUUGUCAUGCCAAUGGCACUGCCCGGUAGCUAAAUGCGGAAGAGAUAAGUGCUGAAAGCAUCUAAGCACGAAACUUGCCCCGAGAUGAGUUCUCCCUGACUCCUUGAGAGUCCUGAAGGAACGUUGAAGACGACGACGUUGAUAGGCCGGGUGUGUAAGCGCAGCGAUGCGUUGAGCUAACCGGUACUAAUGAACCGUGAGGCUUAACCUU